UUAAGACGAAAACUGAACGAUCAUGGGUUCUCACCCUAAGCUUCAUCUUCUUCUCCCAGAUUUGCCCCCAAUUCAUUGUCACCUGCUAAACAGUCCAAGCCUUUAUGAUUGAAUGUUUACAGCCGCAUACGGAAUUGGACGAGUUUGCCAACUAAAAUCAAUUACACCAUACGUUUCAUACCUGCAAUUAUAUAACAUCGAACCAAUCAUGGAAUUGGGUACUCAUUCGCAGGUUGAUUUGUCUACACUCAGGUCCUCCCCACGUCUCCUUAAUUUCAUAGCCCUGCAACCAGAAUCCCCAUAUCUCAGAACGCUUUGCUUUCGGAUUAGGAGAUUUCAUUUCAAAUAAAAAAGGGGAACUCAUUAUCAAACUCUUCGUUUUGAUGCAAAUUUAUUGGACCAACUGAAGUUCUUUUUAUUGCUGUGACUGAGGUAACAUCCGAUGUCUAUAAGCGCCUUACUUAUGCUCUCUUGUUUUGUUGUUCAAUCGAAGUGUGAAAUUGAAAUCUAAGCUGCUAUUAAUACGUAAUUUGUAGCAAAUGUUCUGUCUAAGUUGUUCAUUCUUCAAGACAUAAAGGUACAUUUUUUUUAAUUUUACCCCAUUUUGUUUGGUGGUUGUUCUUCCAAGUUUGUUGAUGUAAUAUAGAACAAAAAUUUAUAAUCUAAUCUGUUAGUUGUUAGUUGAGCAUGUCAUAAUCAAUUGUCUGUUCAAAAUUUCUCUCAGCUUUGUUAAUUCAAAUUAAUGUAUGUACAUUUGUAAAUAUUUAUUUGUUAUUAAAGUAUGCGUAAUUCUGUAAAAAAUGAAUUGCGUAGGUGUAAUUCGAUUGCCAUUGCCAGGUGAGUUACUCCAUCAUUUAGGAUUCUUGUAGCAACAUUUUGUUUUAAGUUAGGAUACUAAUGUUUCUCUUUUAGAUAAAGUUGGAUUAAGGUAAUCAAUUAGCCAAGAUGUUUGACCUGAAAAUGAAUAGGUUAUUAUAAGCCACGGUUGCACAAACAUGAUCUAAAUAUCUUGACUGCUCGAAUUGAAGAUUCAAAUAGGUCAAGUAGGUUGAGUGGUCUAUCUAGCGUGAAAUUUAAAAAGAGUCCCAAAUUUUUAUUUUGCUUUGGGCCACCAAAAUGGUUGAGCCGGCCCUGCUUAUAGCAUUUAAUUUCAUUAAUAUCUACUAAAAUUAGGAGGUUGACAUUGUCGAAUGUGGUUUAUUGAUUACGUAAUUCUUGAUUGAUUAACUAUGUUUCAGGGGUUCCGUUUCCAACAUCAUUUCUGUUUGUUUCGCAGCACAAAAGUUUGAUUUAUCCGAUUCUGUAUGAUGCAAGCUAUAAUUUAGGAUGCUAAAAGGCAAAAGGCGACAGACCCCGUCCACGCAUGCGAAGACCACUGAUCCACCACCAUCCAUUGACUGGAGGACGAAUGGAGCCGUCAAACCUAUGAAGAACCAAGGCUGAUGUGGUAGUUGUUGGGCGUUUUCAACCAUAGUUGGGGUGGAGGGAACAACUAAUCAACCGAAUCCAACACAUCCCAGAACGUGAACAACAACAACCACACUGCAAAACAAAUUACACGAAAUUUAUUUCUAUGCCACAUUUUAACAUUCGUAAAACGCAGGUCCUUAUGAAAAACAAACACUACAACCAGUUAACCAUCAUAAGAAAAGGAAAACCCCAGCUGUAACAAAACCAUUUGUCAGUGAGUAUGACCCCCAGUGGAUUCCCUAGCAGCUUUCUGAUGUUAAACGAGUCAAAUUCAAUGGGUCGUCCAAGAAAAAAAUGGCUAAGAAAGUUGCUGAAAUGAACAUUGAUUCUUUAAAGGCUGUUGGAAAUGGAAGUAUCUUUAAACAUGUAGGCUAUAUUUGCUGUUAUGGAACUAUAAAAAUCUUAAUGUAGGUUGUAUAUGUUAUAAGACAUUGUUAUCAACCGUUGACCCGUUUGACGUCUUUUUCCUUCUUUAAUUUGUAGCCCAGUACCUUUUUUCUCAUUUGACCCACCAUAGAUAAAAAAUAACCAAAAUUACUUAUU